UAUUUUUGUAUCAUGUAAAAUAUUUAUGGUAAACAUUUUACUGCCACUAAGAGAUAUUGUUAACUAUAUGUUCUUAUCAAUAUCCAUGAUAUAUUCAAAUGUCAUGUUAUAGAUCCAAAUUACCGUAAAUCUGGAUGCAAUGUUAUGACUUACAAUUCAAAGUCUGCUUAACGUGUGAUGACAACGAAAUAAAAAAAUGCAGCUGUGCGGUUAAUAAGCAAGAAAGUGGAUUCUUUUGCAAGUGUACUGCAUUACACAUUGACAACAUGUCUGUAUACAGGAGAAGGAUGUGCAUAUUUUAAACCACUAAUGCAUCUUUACAAACAAUAUUCUGAAACUAAAUCAGAACAAGGAAUCAUUAGGAAAAGUAUAAUAUCAAAAUGGUGAUUGAUGACUCUAAUAAAACCCUCCCUAUUUGCUAGUUUCUAAAAUAUACAUCAAAACAAUAAAAUCCUUAUCGGUGGAACACAAAGAGUGUUUUCAUGGCAUUCCUGAUAAAGAUGGUUCAAAGGUCAAGAUGGCAGAUUAAGAAUGAAACAUGAAAAGAUGUAUUUCUCCUUCUGAAAAGCAAAUUUUAGCAAUCCGACCUAAUGCAAAUAACACGUAGACACUGUGAACACUGGGCAUACGAACACUUCAUAUAUAUAUAGCUCAACUCCAAUCUCAGAUAAUAAACACAAAAUACCUACACAAAACAAGAACAAAAAAUAGAACAUGCAAGAAAGCUAUAAAUCUACAGACGAAUACCCAAAAUAGUAUGAUAAUAUACCUGUGUCAAAAAAAUUUGAUUGCAACAGUAACUAAAUGAUGAAGAUGAUUAGGCAACUAUAAAUAGGUAUGUAUCUAUAGCAACAUGAGAACAAUAGGUAUAAAGUCAUCUUCACAAAGUUCUUUUAUCGAUAGGUAUGCAUCGUUACCAAACUAAGAAAGUGAGUGUAAAUACAUCUCCACAGAAAAAGUUUUCUAUUAAAUCAGCAUGAUCAUGUAUGCAAAUCAUAAUAAACACAACUCUAUAACAAACAUUAAGGAAAGAUGUGAGGUGGCCAUGUGCAUGUCGAAAGAAUGCAAAACUUCAGAACAAUAUGGGACAUACAAAAUACAAAAAAACUUUGUAGAGAUGUGACUGUUAUACAAGGCAGCACAGCAGUAAGGUACCUAUGCUGUGAGGUCAAAAGCCAUCAGUUUGUGUGCAGAGAAGACUUUGUGCCAGUGAUAUCUAAAGCCAGUGCAGUGCCAAUGAGAUGUAAAGCAGGGAGCAUUAUUUCUAUGAUUUAACAUAGCUCACAAGCACAGAAAUAAUAAAGCAUGAAAGAAGAUGAAAACCAUCUGGAAAUGAGAUUUCUAAUCUUUUUUUUCCCCUCAAAGAAGCCAAUAAGUUGUUUGUGGUCCAAUAUCUGGAAAUUUUCAGGACUUCAUUCAAUGAAUUGCUUGUGGUAUUUACUGCACGCUAUCUUGGAAAACCUCCAGGAGACUGGGAUUCCAGAUAUUUUGCAAGACCUGCAGAUACUGGAACUCAGUGAAGCUCUUUUGUUAAGUCACUGAGGGCACCAGAUACAAAAUAAUAAAGACAGCUGGAGAGAGGGGUUUUUUUUUUACUUGACAGAACGUGUGAAUGUCAUUAAACAAAGAAAGAAAAACUAUACCAUAAAGCUUACAGCUGAAGAGUCUACAUUAAAGAUCUAACAGCAACACUGCAUGACUACUUUUCCAUGUCUAUCACUACCACAACAAGCUGACAAACAAGAGCAGCUUGUCAUUCCUGAGAAAAUAAACCUUCACUUGAGUAGCAGCAAACAACAACAACAACAACAACAACAACAACAUAUGACAAUACUCAUCACUGCCAUCUUCACACUCUAUCUGCCUGUUGCAUUUCAACUGUAUAUCAAUACAAUACCCAUCAUAGCAGGUAAAUUCUGAGUUGUGGCAAGCUAGAAAGUGAUGAUGAACAGUACAUUUUGUUGGGUAUACAAGCUCCUUCCCAUGGUCAAGCCCUACCUUUACAUUGCUGCCAUUGUUUCCAUAGAUUUCAUCAGAAGGAAAGCACCAGCAAAGUACUAACAAAUUUGCUUCAUUCAGAACAUAGUGGCUAAAACUACAUAGGUAUUACCAGACACAAGAAGCAAGCCAGUCUUCAAAUUGCAUUAUUUCACUUACUUUCUCAGCUUCACAAGCAAAUAUCAAAAACAGAAAAUACUUGUCAUAUGAUGAAUUCAUCAGGACCAAGUGCCACUAAAAUAAGACCAGUCUUACAUUUUUUACCCAACACCAUUUCCCUUUUCUUUAGUUGUACACCAAUAUGUGUACAUUUUUGUAUGUGUCAAUGUGUAUUUGUGAAAGUGUGUGACUGCAUAUGUGUGUGUGACAGAGAGAGAGAAUUAUAUUAGUGUAUGUGUGUCUGUGUGCACGUGUGCAAAUAGAUUGCUUUUAUUUUUAGUAAAUUAUUCAAACCUCUGCACAGCUUUUCAUAAGUAUCAACACAUAUUAUUAGGUUGUACAUAUUCAAAUACCUUUCAGUGAUUUUCUCAUGAGGGAGGCAUUCUAUUAUUUGCAAAGGAGAACAUAAAUUGAAAAUAGUCUGCUUGCCUAAGCUGCUCAUUAUUAUAAGAAUGUGUGAGUACAUUGACAUAUAUCUGUCAGAUGAAGACAAAGUCUCUGAAAUGAAAUGUUAAAGGAGUGAAUC